rnacentral:rRNA from 1 species
UACGAAGGGGGCUAGCGUUGUUCGGAAUCACUGGGCGUAAAGCGCACGUAGGCGGAUUGUUAAGUCGGGGGUGAAAUCCUGAGGCUCAACCUCAGAACUGCCUUCGAUACUGGCAAUCUCGAGUCCGGAAGAGGUUGGUGGAACAGCUAGUGUAGAGGUGAAAUUCGUAGAUAUUCGGAAGAACACCAGUGGCGAAGGCGACUCACUGGACACAUAUUGACGCUGAGGUGCGAAAGCGUGGGGAGCAAACAGG